UACGAAGGGUGCAAGCGUUACUCGGAAUUACUGGGCGUAAAGCGUGCGUAGGCGGUUUGUUAAGUCCGCUGUGAAAGCCCUGGGCUCAACCUGGGAAUUGCAGUGGAUACUGGCAAGCUAGAGUGCGGUAGAGGAUGGUGGAAUUCCCGUGUAGCGGUGAAUGCGUAGAGAUCGGAGGAAGACCAGUCAGCAGAGGCGAGCUC
rnacentral:rRNA from 1 species